UGAGAAUAAGUGCACAUUGUGGCUCAGUGC
rnacentral:piRNA from 1 species